rnacentral:rRNA from 1 species
GGGGAAUUUUCCGCAAUGGGCGAAAGCCUGACGGAGCAAGACCGCGUGGGGGAUGAAUGCCUAAUGGUUGUAAACCCCUUUUAUUCGGGAAGAUAAUGACGGUACCGAAUGAAUCAGCCUCGGCUAACUCCGUGCCAGCAGCCGCGGUAAUACGGAGGAGGCAAGCGUUAUCCGGAAUUAUUGGGCGUAAAGCGUCCGUAGGUGGUUGAACAAGUCAGCUGUUAAAGAGUGGUGCUUAACACCAUAAAGGCGGUUGAAACUGUUUGACUAGAGUUUGGUAGGGGUUGCGGGAAUUCCCAGUGUAGCGGUGAAAUGCGUAGAUAUUGGGAAGAACACCGGUGGCGAAAGCGCGCGACUGGACCUGAACUGACACUGAGGGACGAAAGCUAGGGGAGCGAAAGGGAUUAGAUACCCCAGU